rnacentral:rRNA from 1 species
UACGAAGGGGGCUAGCGUUGUUCGGAAUUACUGGGCGUAAAGCGUGCGCAGGCGGCUUUGCAGGACAGAUGUGAAAUCCCCGGGCUCAACCUGGGAACUGCAUUUGUGACUGCAAGGCUAGAGUACGGCAGAGGGGGAUGGAAUUCCGCGUGUAGCAGUGAAAUGCGUAGAUAUGCGGAGGAACACCGAUGGCGAAGGCAAUCCCCUGGGCCUGUACUGACGCUCAUGCACGAAAGCGUGGGGAGCAAACAGG